ensembl:lncRNA
GUGAAGUAUAGAAAAUGGCUCGGUGUCCUUUCUGCACUUCGGUAACAUGUCGAUGGCAGCAUUUCCGAGCUCCCCGUCGCUCCGCUGAUCCUUGCCGUCGUCACUUCACAGCUAAGCGAUGAAAAAGGACCGUCCCUUCCAGCUCUGGCGAAACGCGUCCCCAGAGCCCUCGCACAGAGCCGGGCCGGGCUGUGGGGCGCGGCGUUGGGGCUGCCGCCGCGGGUGCCCCCGGGUGAGGCGGCGAGCCGCGCCGGUGCCCGGCACAGGCAGCAAGGCGAGGCGCGGAGCUCGGCCGCACCACCUACCGGCCGCCGCCGGACUCGAUGAGCUGCAGAGCUCCCUUCCAACCCCUGCGGUUCUGGGAAAAGCAGCGGGACUUGCUGAAUCACGAGGUCCAGAGCUCAGUUGAAGGGCAGACCUCCUGCCAUCAGCCCAAGAGCGUUCUCUUUGUUACAGCGGCCCUCACGAGCACCAAGACUGAGCCUCUGCUCAGGUAUCUACAACGCCCUCGGUGCUCUGCAGGCUCCAAGCACGAUCCAAGGAGCUCACAGGGAAGAAACACAGCACGAAAUGUUGUGAGGGCGCAAGAGAAACGGCCGUCAAUCUUUUUCUGGGGCAUUAACCAUCACCACAAGCUCAACAGCAGUCAUCCCCAUUGCACUGCAAGCACCAGGGCUCCCAAUGCUCGGCUUUCCACAUGCUGAAUUUUAGCAUUUUCCCCUUUGAGAAAAGAAAACCAUGAAAUGAAUUACACUGUUUCUGAAGGGAGACCUUCAGGGGCCACUCAGAACGCUGACGAUCCAUUAAUCCAAGCAAGUACAACAAAGUGAAUGCAUCUCAAUCUAUACCAUCUUGGUCCUCCGACCUGCACAGUGAGAAGCUGGACGUAAGAGACUGCCAGGUACAAAGAAAGCCAAGAGACCAGAUCAACACCUGUAGAUAUGCCUUUGGGCAAAAUCUGAUAGGAGGCUGCUGGGCCCCCAAAUCUGCGUGACAUUUACAGAAUCAUCUUAUCCGAAGCUUCAUUAGAUAAACUACGCCCAAGAUCAGCACUUACACAUAUUUGAGAGGAUUAAAAACAAGAGCUCUCAUCAGAAAUUAUGUCAAUUUUCAGACUGCACAGCUGAUGCACAGCCACGCAAAGAACUCCAAGGGCAAGUCUGGCCACGUAUCAACCACCUGUCCUUGCUACAAAAAGCCUACCUGUCUCUACCUGGCCCUGCCCCAAGGAAGCACCUAUGGGAAUAGGAAGCACCUAUGGGAAUUUGGAAAAGUUUGGGGAUGCAGUGGAGAAAUGCAGGCUCUUCACAGCACCUUCCCGGCACCCUAUUGUAUUUUUUAUCAUAAGCACCAUAAGGACGGUUGGACACUGGACUAAGCUGCCCAGCCAGGCCGUGGAAACUCCAUUGCUAGAGAUACUCUAAAUCCAACCCAGCUCCCUGUGCAACCCGCUCCUGCUCCGCCCGCCUCGAGCAGAGGGCUGGGGAUCGACGUGCGGGCUCGCAGCGCUGUGAUUCAGUAGCACUCACACACGGCGAGUUACCUCCGCCUUCCUCCGUCAGCGCUCAGCUUCCUCGGCGGCAGCAGGGAGCAGCGAAAGGCGAGCACCGAAGUUACGCACCGGACCGGCUGCAUUCCUGCGGGGCCGACGGGACGCGAGGCACAGUGCGCAGCCCCGAGCAGCGGCCGGGACCCGGGCGGCCAACAGAGGGCACUGCG